rnacentral:tRNA from 1 species
GGUCCGUUGGUCAAGGGGUUAAGACACCGCCUUUUCACGGCGGUAACACGGGUUCGAAAUCCCGUACGGACUA